CAUCAGGUGGCUGAAAGUAAGCACUGGUCUCUUAAACCACUUUAUAGUAAAUAACAAAUACUCCUGAUGA
rnacentral:tRNA from 1 species